rnacentral:rRNA from 1 species
ACACGACUCUCGGCAACGGAUAUCUCGGCUCACGCAUCGAUGAAGAACGUAGCAAAAUGCGAUACUUGGUGUGAAUUGCAGAACCCGUGAACCAUCGAGUUUUUGAACGCAAGUUGCGCCCAAAGCCAUCCGGUUGAGGGCACGUCUGCCUGGGCGUCACGUA